AAUUAGCUUGUAUUAGAGAACACUGAGCUGAUUAGUCAUCUUGAAGUGUGGCUUGCUCUAGUUAUUUUUAGCAGCAGUAAAACAUACUUCUUUUCCUGCAUUGCCACUGUCUUGUAUUCAUAGGCCUGACUACUACCUAAAAUAUUAUCCACACAGAGAUUUGCGUGGGCAAAGAACAACAAUGCAGUGGGAGGUUCUUAGGACAUAUGGGAAAACGGGUCUGUUCAUUUGUUUGUUCAUGUAUGUUUUUUUUCUUUCCAAAUGGCUGUGUGCAGGAAUAUGAAAUGUAGAUUUUGAUGAAGUCACCUUCCCCAACUGUCUUUUCUGGUUCUGUCUGGAUCCAAACCUUACCAUGCAAAUUAUAAGCACAAACUGGCGUUUUAGUCUCUCUUGCCUGCAUGGUGCUUACAAAAAUAUCCUCACUGUGCUCCGAACUCUGUGAAGGCAAUGAUCCCAAGCUUCCAGUUAAGGUCACUAAUCUCUAACUUCAAAAUAUAAACACAAGUAGAAAACAUUGCCUAUAUUAACUCCUUUUUUGAGUUCAUAACAUUGGUUUCCCAUGAAUUGAUUACCUAUCUUUUUUCAAAAAAGAACUUUGCUUACAAAUACACCUGUGAUAUGUUCUUAUCUAAGUUGAAAAAAAAAGCAUGAUAUAAUUAUUAAGAACUGAACAAAGGUUACAGGAAACAUGGUAUGAUAUGGAGCACUUAAUUACCAUGCCAGCCCCCAGAUACGACUGAGUGGCGGUGACUAACAGGUGGUGUCAUCUCCCUCCUCCAGGCAUAGUAGAUCCCCCUGUUAUUUAUUAUAAGAGGCUACUCCUAGUAUGGCAGCCCUCUUGUUUAACACUGAUAUGGCAAGGGUCCUGUUUCUCCAGUUCUUAGCUCCUAAGGAGGGACACUGCCUAUAGGUUCAAAGAGUGUAGGGACUCUCGAUGGGACCUAGACACUGAGGUAGAGAAGAGUAAUGGGAUAGCUGAUGCUCUACAGUGGGGAAGUCACUCAAACAUAAUCCCAAGUCAGUGUCAUUCAAGCCAGAACUUUGGUUCCAGGAAGCCUCAGAAAAGAUGGAGUUUCUGUAGCAGGUAGGGAAGGCACUUAGGGGAGAGAGACAGAAAGCUCUGCAUCAGCCAUAGGAGAAACAGAAAUAAUUUCCUAUGGAACGC
rnacentral:lncRNA from 1 species